rfam:Herbinix sp. SD1D isolate SD1D genome assembly, chromosome: I
GCUUCUGUGGCUCAGCUGGUAGAGCAAUUGAUUCGUAAUCAAUAGGUCACGGGUUCGAGUCCCGUCAGAAGCU